rnacentral:rRNA from 1 species
UACAGAGGGUGCGAGCGUUAAUCGGAAUUACUGGGCGUAAAGCGCACGUAGGUGGCGACGUAAGUCGGGUGUGAAAGCCCCGGGCUCAACCUGGGAACUGCAUUCGAUACUGCCGGGCUGGAGUACGAGAGAGGGGGGUGGAAUUCCAGGUGUAGCGGUGAAAUGCGUAGAGAUCUGGAGGAACACCAGUGGCGAAGGCGGCCCCCUGGUUCGAUACUGACGCUGAGGUGCGAAGGCGUGGGGAGCAAACAGGAUUAGAAACCCUU